GAAGGAUCAUUAUUGAAUGAACUUGGUGUGGUUGUUGCUGGCCCUCUCGGGGGCAUGUGCACACCCACCAUCCUCAUCUCUCCACCUGUGCACCUCUUGUAGACCUGGAUUGACUUUCCGAGGCAACUCGGUCGGGAAGAUUGCUGCGCUCUGUGAGCCAGCUUUCUUUGCAUGUCCAGGCCUAUGUUUUUCAUAUACCCCUAUAGAAUGUAACAGAAUGUAUCAUUGGGCCUUGUGCCUAUAAACCUUAUACAACUUUCAGCAACGGAUCUCUUGGCUCUCGCAUCGAUGAAGAACGCAGC
rnacentral:misc_RNA from 1 species